AUACUUACCCUGAAGAGAAGUUACCAUGAUUAAGAAGAUGGUUUUCUCAGGGCACGAUUUAGCCAUUGCAAUGCAGAUGUGCUGACCCCUGCGACUUAAUCAAAUGUGGGAAACUCGACUGCAUAAUUUAAGGUAGUGGGGGACUGUGUUCCCGCUCUCCCUAA